GUGAGCCACUGCCGUGCCCGCGCUCGAGCCGGCGCGCGCGGUCCCUCACCCGCU
rnacentral:miRNA from 1 species